CUGGGUUUCUUUGUGCCAUCUUAGGGCAGGUGGGUGAGUUAUCAGCUCCUGCAGAUUGCUGGGAGUGGGAACAUAGCCGGUGUUUGGGGGAAGUUAAGUCUGAGCAGGCUUUGUUACAUCUUGGGGACCUGCAGAGAUGGUGGGACCCAACCUACAAGCAAGAAUCUCCUCUGCAGUGAUGUGUGGCUGAAAGGACUGAUGGCUCUAUGAAGCAGCUGAACAGCAAGAACAGCAGAAGAACAAAAGAACAGCAACUGCAGAGAAGUCAGAGUAGUCAUCUCAAUCAACAACCAACCUUUGCCUGUAUUGAAAUGGGAUCUCUUAUGAGAAUGACAUUUUGUGAUUCCCAACUUUCUAUCCACCUACCAUACUUUGAAGCUAACACUUUUGACUUUUCUGGAACCAGGAACACACAGAAGUAUCCCAGUACAGGAGAAGGCUUCUCCAGAACGUGGUUACUGGUCCGUGCCUGGCGGGUAUGAGAAAGUGUCUGGAAAUGGCCUCAGUUCUGGGCCAUCUUCGGGAAUUCCCAAGAGGCUGAGGACAGGGUGCUCCUCCUGUUCACCACACGUGUCAGUCUUAACUCUGCUGGAGGCCAAGCAGUGCAAACAGCAAUUUGCUUUCCUGUGGCUGGUGAACUUCAGUGCCUCCAUGUAAAAUCCAUGCACGUAAUGACUUCAUACGCAUUUCCAGAAGCUAACGCCUGAGAUUUGGCUCAUUAAAAUCCAAAUGGCGCGCUAGUAAAAUGAAGUCUACCGACGUACCAGAUCUGUGUGCUGGAAAGUGGGAUUCAGUCACAUCUCCCAGUUUUUUAUGAGCAAUAAAUACCCAGUAGCUCAGAAGACAAGCUUUCCCACUUUGUGCAGGUUCUGGAGCAAAAACCUUCUCUUGCACUCAAGGACAGCUCUUGCUAAUGCUGAGGACGCUCUUGUGGGCAGCGUUUGGUGCAAGUGGCGUUAGAUGUGCAGCGCUGGCCUGCAGCAGCCCUGGGGUUUGAUGCACCACUCUUCUAUGCUAACUUCCUUAAAAGCAGCUGGGACAAUCCACGUGCAUCGUCUUGCUUGCACGUUUGUGUCCUGAGAGUGCUUCCUGCAGCUCAGCUGAAUGCGCAGAGCCUCUCGGCGGAGAGGGGAGCACCACCAGGGAAUAGCAGGGAACAGCUUUUCUGCGGUGGAGCCGCCAAAGUGGCUUUGUUCUGAGUGCUUUGUUUCAGUGCUCCCUGAAUAGGGAUGAUAUUACUCACAGGCUGAAGAGCUUUGUCAUUUGGAGCGUAAGAUGGUUUAGAAUUGGGCCCGAUUUAUAUGGAAUGAGUUUAUUUCUGCAGUAAUGGCUUCUUCUAGGAUAAGAGUGUUUAUAGCCCUUCCCUUUGGAAUCGUUGUCGCUCCGACUAGGCUGUCUAGACAGCUCGGUUUUCAGGCAUAUUCACCACGCCGUGCCUCUAGAGUGGGUAAUAAUAUGUCAAAGCCAUAAUAUUGCCAGCUAAGGCAGGCUCCGAAGGGGGAAGUGAUUCCGGCUCUUCUCUUGAGAGGGAGAAACAGAAGAAUUCCAGCUCCUGUUACUGCUGUGCAGGAGGGGAAGGUCCAUGGUCUGCUGCUCUUGCGGUCUGCAGAUGGGGCUCUCAGAUCCAUCACCCCCUUAAAUACAUGCUCCUUUCCUCUGGAGCACUGCAGGAAGGAAAAGAGGGAAGCGUUUAGUUGUCUACUUCAAAUAAUACAUUAUUUAGAAUAUGUUUCCUUCUUGAGGAAAUAGCUGGCGAUUAUGCUAUGAGAACAGUUGCCCUCAAGGAAACAGAAUAAGCUUUUCCUACCACUUUUGGAUUCCAGGUUGAACAGAAGCUCUUGACAAGCCUGGCCUUGUUUUAUGCGCCCUUUCCUUCAAGGACACUUAAGAAGCAUGGAGUGAUUUGCUGUGCGUGACCUGGCCGAGCUGAACACUGCUGUGAGGUGGUGGGCAAAGUUUUCCCAUGCCUUUGAGUUCUUGUUUUUACUCUUUUGACAGCUUGGUGAGAAAGAAGAAUAUUGUAGAAGCAUAAUUAUUUCCAAGUAGGUGCCCACUGUGCCCUUCUGCACAGCCUUUGCUAUUUUUGGGAGUGUUCAAAUAACUUUUUAGCUCAUAUUAAAGACAUCUGGAAUUGAAGCACAGAAGACACAGUGCAAAUGGAUUUUGGAAGAAGGCUCCCAUUUUCUAGACUAACAAAAAUUCAUUGCACAGCCCUAUUCACUUAAUCAUGGAUCCAAACUUUUAACACCUGCCUCAGGAUUUCUGCACUUCCCAUGAAAAAGACCAGUUGAACUUAGCAUUUGCAGUCCUGUGACCUGCAAACCCCUUGGGGAGCACAGAAAUGCCCCCAAAGCCUUUGGAUACCAGGAAUGGACUCUUGGCUGAAGAGGAGACUGCAGCUUGGAGUGCACACAGGGGCUGGGUUCCCAGUGCUCCCUCAAUACAUAGCAGGGGAAAAAGUAGGUACCGCUGAGAUAUAUCCCCGUUUUUAGGCACUGGGAAAGUGGAUGGUAAUAUUGGACGUGAUCCAGUGAUCCAUCUAUUCUGGAUCACUGACUCCAGUAUCUCUGCCAAGGAGACUGUGGCACAUAAUCCCUUUCAGAAAAACAUCAGACUGUAGUUUAAGACUCUGCCACUCUUUGCAGAGGCUGUUGCAGCAUCUCUGCUUUGGUGGCUAAAAACUUAAAUUUCCAGAUUAACUAUAUUUACAGGCACUUUCAGACCAUUUGUUCUUUUGCCAAAAUCACUCUGUUUUAAAUGCAUUUUUUUUUUCUAUUAGUAUUAUUUUGAGGUUGCUGAUGCUUUGUUUUUUAAUGAAAAGCAAAAGAAGCACUUGUGGUGGUUUAUAGCUAAAAUGAGGUGGGGGUGAGACUUCAGGGCAUCUCAGUAUUUUGUCAGGAACCAAGUCAGGUAUUCAGCUAAAACGUAGCACUUCCUUUGAUCUGGGACGCGUGGACUUGAGUGGCUGAGGUCCUCUCUGAUGGUCUCUCCUGGCCAGCUCUCCUGUAUGCAAGGCAGAAGCAGAGGGAAUGAGUUGUAGCUGAAUGAUGCAGCCAAAAUCUCUGAGGUUUUGUUAAAUUUCAAGCACUUCUCAAACAAAUAUCUAGUGUUUGAUUUUGGUUACCGGCAGAGAUGAUGCUGUUGCCCAGCCUCUGCCUCUUUAAGGAGUACAUUAACUGAAGGAUAUACAUAAAUCCCUUUUGAACAGAAUCAAACCCACAGUGAUUACACAAACCCAGUCAUCCGCUCCCUCACAUCCCCUGGGAGCACCAGCAUCUGGCGUCAGUGCCUGCUCUGAGCAGAGAUGCUCUCACAGCCUACAAACCGUCGUCCUGUGCUACCUCUCUGAGUAAUACCAGGGCUAAGGAUUGAUCUGGCCCCUCCUUAAUGUUCUCUUAGUGAAAGUAAUUAAAAAUUUCCAAAAGUAAACCAAAUCAAGCCAAUUAAACUGUAAUGUGAUCAAGGCUUGACUGAGAUUUAUCAUCUUUUCUGUGGCUUGAAAUGCUGGCAGCUGGAUGAGUGCAGCAGCAGUGAUGUGUGCACGUGUUAGAUGGGACUUGACUUAAAGCACAGAUCUGUGUGAGCAACCCAAAGCAAAAAAAAAAAA